GGUUGUUGUUGACACGUGAGACAUUUUGAACAGCCUACAGGCCAUUUGGUACCUGUGUGCACAUGAGAUUCGCAGCAUUAUUUCAGUGCACAUAGAAUAGUGCACUAGUCCACCGUUGGUGUCCUCUGUCUUUUAUUAUGCGUAGUCAAGCAGUUUUAUUGGUACCGAGUCAAAGCCGCAACUUCAGGGUUCCCCACAUGGCACAAAGCCUCGAAUGUUUUUCCUUUCCGCUGCUAUGGAGACCGAGUGGAGGCCAAUGUCCCAAAGUUCUACUUUCAUGUCCCUCUCCUCCUGCAUGUGUCCUGUUGUAAAAGUUCUCCUCCUCGGCUGCUGCUCGUGACCGUCUCUCUCUCAGCCUCCACAUCCGACAUACUCACAUCCCCACACCCCCUACCCUCAGCUGCAAACCGCCGAGUGCUCACGGAAUGACACCAGCGAAUCUCCGGAUCAGAACAUCACCAGCCUGGACACGGAAAGGCAGCAGAGAGGGCAGAUCCAAGACCAGCGUCACCACGCCAACAAAGAGAAGCAGCGCGUGCAGCAGGAGACGAUACACCUGCGUCACACCACUGCAAAGAAGAGUGGACCCGGUCCUCUGCUUGGGAUUCCUCUGGAGUGACGGCAGAGUGGACACGAGAGCGACUCGCUAGCUCCUCCUGAGGCAUGAGCGGUAUUAGACAGGACGAGCUACUGCUACGUGGUCAGCAGGCUCAUUUCACGUAUACAUGUACAUAUGUAACCAAAUGCAGAGAUGGCACACCGACAACUGUUACUUUUUCACAUUUUGUUGAUAACGCCGAAUCACACUGUUUUUGAGGGGUCUCCAUAUCACAAUUGUGUUUAAAUUGCCAUUCAAAGCAAGAAACUCGAGCAUUUUCCCCUCCGUUUUACUGCAGAGAAGGAGGGCAAUGCGAUGUCCAAUCAUUUUGUUUCUUACCAGUUUGAAUGGACGAUACAAGCCGGACUUUGUGAGACACAAAAGAGCAGCUGAGUGGGAGGGGGCCUGGCCGCUGACAGCCAGAGGUGAGAGGUCAAAGAGCCAAGUUAACUCCAUCAAUCCCCGGGAACAGUUACAAACGAGCCCUCAACUCUGGUCAUAACAAUCGCUGGAUCAUGCAGGAAGGACAAGAGGAGAUUAGGAGGUGAGGGAGCUCACGCAGAGUAAGAUGCAGCUCUCUGAAUGUCAAAACGAGUUUCUCCAAAAAGAGAAGGCUGUGGAGGACCCGAGCGAGGAGAGCGAUGAGCUGAGAGCCGAGGUGGGGGAGCGGGCCGGAGAGUUUGAC